rnacentral:rRNA from 1 species
AGUGAACGCUGGCGGUAGGCCUAACACAUGCAAGUCGAACGGCAGCACAGUAAGAGCUUGCUCUUACGGGUGGCGAGUGGCGGACGGGUGAGGAAUACAUCGGAAUCUACUUUUUCGUGGGGGAUAACGUAGGGAAACUUACGCUAAUACCGCAUACGACCUACGGGUGAAAGCAGGGGAUCUUCGGACCUUGCGCGAUUGAUUGAGCCGAUGUCGGAUUAGCUAGUUGGCGGGGUAAAGGCCCACCAAGGCGACGAUCCGUAGCUGGUCUGAGAGGAUGAUGAGCCACACUGGAGCUGAGACACGGUCCAGACUCCUACGGAAGGCAGCAGUGGGGAAUAUUGGACAAUGGGCGCAAGCCUGAUCCAGCCAUACCGCGUGGGUGAAGAAGGCCUUCGGGUUGUAAAGCCCUUUUGUUGGGAAAGAAAAGCAGCAGGUUAAUACCCCGCUGUUCUGACGGUACCCAAAGAAUAAGCACCGGCUAACUUCGUG